GACGAACGCUGGCGGCGUGCUUAACACAUGCAAGUCGAACGGAAAGGCCCUGCUUUUGUGGGGUGCUCGAGUGGCGCACGGGUGAGUACAACGUGAGUAACCUGCCCUUGUCUUUGGGAUAACUUCAGGAAACUGGGGCUAAUACCGGAUAGGAGCUCCUGCUGCAUGGUGGUGGUUGGAAAGUUUCGGCGGUUGGGGAUGGACUCGCGGCUUAUCAGCUUGUUGGUGGGGUAGUGGCAUACCAAGGCUUUGACGGAUAGCCGGCCUGAGAGGGUGACCAGCGUCAUGGGGACUGAGAGACGCACCAGACGGGUACGUGAGGCAGCAGGGGAGAAUAUGACACAGUGGGCGGAAGCGUGAGACAGCAACGCCGCGUGCGGGAAGACGGCCUUCGGGGGAAAAACCGCUUUCUCAUGAGACGAAGCGGGAGUGACGGUAAUUGGUAAAGAAGCAACGGCUAACUACGUG
rnacentral:rRNA from 1 species